GUCUAGUACUCAGAGUUUGAUCCUGGCUCAGGAUGAACGCUAGCGGCAGGCUUAACACAUGCAAGUCGAGGGGCAGCAUAAUGAAGUAGCAAUACGGAAUUGAUGGCGACCGGCGCACGGGUGCGUAACGCGUAUGUAACCUACCCUUAACAGGGGGAUAACACUGAGAAAUUGGUACUAAUACCCCAUAACACCUUGGAGGGCAUCCUCUGGGGUUGAAAGUUCCGGCGGUUAAGGAUGGACAUGCGUUGUAUUAGCUAGAUGGUGAGGUAACGGCUCACCAUGGCGACGAUACAUAGGGGGACUGAGAGGUUAACCCCCCACACUGGUACUGAGACACGGACCAG
rnacentral:rRNA from 1 species